rnacentral:rRNA from 1 species
UACGGAGGGUGCAAGCGUUGCUCGGAAUUAUUGGGCGUAAAGGGUAGGUAGGUGGUCUCAUUUGUUUGGGGUGAAAGCCUUGGGCUUAACCUAAGAAGUGCCCCAAAAACGGUGAGACUAGAGUCCUGGAGAGGGUCGUGGAAUUCCCGGUGUAGCGGUGAAAUGCGUAGAGAUCGGGAGGAACACCAGAGGCGAAGGCGGCGACCUGGACAGGCACGUGACACUCAACUACGAAAGCGUGGGGAGCAAACAGG